ensembl:scaRNA SCARNA8 small Cajal body-specific RNA 8
GGGAGGGGUGAUACUUGGACAGUUCAGAGCAGUGCUCUGUCCAUCACUGACCCUUCCUAUAGCAUCCCUGCUUUCUGAUGACCGCAGCGGAUUGAGGGAAACCGCUACGGACAGGUACGGAGCAGACAAUG